rnacentral:rRNA from 1 species
AUGGAGUUCCUGCUGCAACCGAUUAGGAGCACCGCGGUCAUGGAAGAAGUGAACGACAGCCAGCUUGCAAUGGAGCCGCUGCACUACCCGGCGAUGGCGACUGAGGCUGAGCGGCUACCACCCAUGGCGACUGGUAGUGUUGACGGGAAAAUCUGUGCGGCCGAGGGGGGAGCUGUAGGCGAAGGGGAUGCUAAACCGCAAGCAUCUGAGCGAUCUAUUGGACAGAUUGAUCCCAAGACACCAGGCUGGACUCGCAGGGCUAGAAUUGGAGCAGCUGCACCAGGAAGGGCACCUUGCCCUGGGCGAACCAGUGCCCUUGAGAAGGCAAUAUGGAGUUUGCUGAUCAACCCGGGAACAUUGUAA